rnacentral:rRNA from 1 species
CACGUAGGGGGCAAGCGUUGUCCGGAUUUAUUGGGCGUAAAGAGCUCGUAGGUGGUUCGGUAAGUCAGGUGUGAAACCUCCAGGCUCAACCUGGAGACGCCACUUGAUACUGCUGUGACUGGAGUCCGGUAGGGGAGCGUGGAAUUCCUGGUGUAGCGGUGAAAUGCGCAGAUAUCAGGAGGAACACCGGUGGCGAAGGCGGAUCUCUGGGCCUUGCCUGACGCUGAGGCGCGAAAGCUAGGGGAGCGAACAGG